rnacentral:misc_RNA from 1 species
CCCUCCCCUAAAUCACUCCAAAAAAACAAUCCCCAAUUCUACACAAGUGUUUCUACACUAACAAAGCAACAGCUCCUUAACGAAUUCCCAACUUUACACGAGCUCGUCUCUCGAGGUUAAAUGUUAUUACUUGGUAAGAUUCCGGACCUCGCCAAGUGUUUUGAAAACCCGCAACGCUCGCAAAGGUGCAUAGUGAGAAUAAUAAGUGAAGAGACAGACUUGUCCAAAACGCCCACCACGAAGGUGCAUAGUGAGAAGAGUAAGUCAAGAGAUAGACUUGUCCAAAAAGAAACGGAAGAGAAAGCUUGGGGAGACGCUCACGAAGGUGCAUAGUGAGAAGAGUAAGUCAAGAGAUAGACUUGUUCAAAAAGAAACAGAAGAGAAUGCUUGGGGUUACACUCACGAAGGUGCAUAGUGAGAAGAGUAAGUCAAGAGACAGACUUGUUCAAAAAGAAACAAAAGAGAAUGCUUGGGGAGAUAGAAGUGUGAGAUAGUUCUCAAGCUAAGAAAGUUGUAAAAGCUAAGAACUAGCAAGUAAUCGUCCAGGAUUCCUCCACCAGGACUUGAAAUCGUCGAGGGAAAAAAAUCGGUUCCGAGGAAUCGUCGAUCCGGACUUGGAAUCGUCGAGAAAAGUUUACCGGGUCCGAGGAUUUGUCGACCAGGAGUGGAAAUCGUCGAGAAAAAUCUAUCGGGUCCGAGGAAUCGUCGACCAGGACGAGGAAUCGUCGACAGGGUCCGAGGAUUUGUCGACCAGGGGUUGAAAUCGUCGACCAGGUCCGAGACUUCAUCGAC